GACGAACGCUGGCGGCGUGCCUAAUACAUGCAAGUCGAACGAGAGCAACCGGUGCUUGCACUGGUCAAUCUAGUGGCGAACGGGUGAGUAACACGUGGGUAACCUGCCCAUCAGAGGGGGAUAACAUCCGGAAACGGAUGCUAAAACCGCAUAGGUCUUCGAACCGCAUGGUUUGAAGAGGAAAAGAGGCGCAAGCUUCUGCUGAUGGAUGGACCCGCGGUGCAUUAGCUAGUUGGUGAGGUAACGGCCCACCAAGGCCGUGAUGCAUAGCCGACCUGAGAGGGUGAUCGGCCACAUUGGGACUGAGACACGGCCCAAACUCCUACGGGAGGCAGCAGUAGGGAAUCUUCCGCAAUGGACGCAAGUCUGACGGAGCAACGCCGCGUGAGUGAAGAAGGUUUUCGGAUCGUAAAACUCUGUUGUUAGAGAAGAACAAGUGCUAGAGUAACUGUUAGCGCCUUGACGGUAUCUAACCAGAAAGCCACGGCUAACUACGUG
rnacentral:rRNA from 1 species